rnacentral:lncRNA from 1 species
GCCAUCUUGGUCAGCCUCCAUCUAAAACCCAGACUCUGUCAUGGCCAAAUACUCGAAACAGCUACCACACACGAGCUGCACUAAAGAUCCCUUUUCCAUCAUACACCACUAGAUCAUUUUUGUUCUCAAUACCAAGAGCAGAAACAGUAGCAGCAAAGGCUUCCUUUUUGUAGUGUGAUAUGAUAUUCCAUCUACAUCAAAGAAAAGUGCACCAGGAAUGUAAGCAACCUAAUACUCUUGAAUUGGAUUCCUUUGCUCAUCAGGCAUGUACCAAGAGGCAUCCAACACCUUCAGAUAUGGCUCCUUAAGGUUAGCAUAGCCAAUCAACAUAAACAACAGGAACAUUUGCAG